CCUAGUCCGUUUUUCAACUUCCUACCUUUACAGAAAAGAACAUGAACAUCUGUAGAUGAAAAUUCAGUCUUCCUCUCAAUUGCAGAUUCCAAGACGAGGUGAAGAGGCUAAAGACUUGGGCUGCAGAUUCAAGUCUCUAAUUUUGGAUGAGCUAUAUAUAGGUUGAUUUGCACAAUUUCAUGAAUCAAUUUGGACUAUUAACAACAGAUAAAUUGUAGAUAGCCCAUAAACCUACGAAUGGAGUAUCUUUUGUCAAAACCAGCUAUGGCGCGCUCAUUUUCUAAUAUACAGAUUCAGGUCUUAAGUUCACCAAAGUUUUUAAUUAAGAUAAAGUUAAAAAGACAAAACACUACAUUGCAAAGUUCUACACAUUGCUCGUACAAAGGCGGCCAACUGUUUCAAAGGGCACAGUGAAGUAGACCGCCGAUAUGGCCGAGUGUCUGCUCUAGCAAAUAAUGCCAAUGUGCAUAUGUAAGUUUCCCUGAGCAGUGAAUUUGAAAAUUCAUUUUCACUCCUGAUUUCCUUCUAUCAUAUUCUCUUGACAGUGUCACCAUGAACAACAACCAGUCCUUCGGUUGCGAGAGUAGCAAGUGCAUUCCGCAGCUGAUGCAACACAAGAGGGAAAAAACAUCAGAUGAUUUUUCAAAUAAAAAGUGCAGAGAGAAAGCUGGGAGGAGAGAAUUUACGUCUGCCAGGUGAACUUCACCGCCAGAACUUUGCUUCUUUGCGUCUUCCAAUAACUAUAGUAGAAGUUAGCAAAAGUCAGUACUGAAUUUCUUUUCAGUUCCUCCAAAAUGUUAUUAAAGUAUAAUCUUGACGAGUUUACAUACCUCUAGCAAACGAGUUGAUGGUCCCCCAAGCUGCAGCUUCUCCAUAAUUAUGUUGCGAGUGGUUGACACCAAAUUCUCCCUUCUCAUCCUUUCACUUGCAGAUACUCCAGUUGUGAUAAGAUCCAUGUCAAUGGUUCCUGCUCAAAGAACAAAGUGCUCAGAAUACUUGAAAGAGAUGACAAUAUUAGAAAUGAGUUCUCAUUGAACAUGAUAAGAAAAGAGGUAACAUUUUAAGUCGAUGGAAUCUUAGAGUUUGUUCAAGCAAAUGCCUACUUUGAAUUACUAAGAAUCAUAAUCAAAAGGAUAGAGCUAAUGAGAUUAGGUAGAUGCAAAGCAAAAUUGUUGCAUGGUCAUUUUCAUCUGACUAGAGUAAUAAAUAAAGCAAUAAGAAAGAUGUUUCACAUAAUGCCAAGCAAGUUGCAAAAAUAGGCUUCGCCGGAUACUCAAAUUAGUGUGAUGAUUUGGUCUAUCAUUAAUAAUAAAAGAUAUGAAGACAAUGGUUACUGUCUACUGUAAAAAGGGUUGUCCAAGAUUUUUCACAUAAUGCUAAGCAAGUUGUAAAAAUAGGCAUCACCAGAUACUCAAAUUAGUGUGAUGAUUUGGUCUAUCAUCAAUAAUAAAAGAUAUGAAGACAAUGGUUACUCUCUACUGUUUAAAGGGUUGUCCAAGUUAUACCUGUAGCAUGGUCAGUUGCAGACUGCUGCAGAGCAACUUCUAGAAGUCGAAAAGCCUCCAUUACAUCUUUUUUCUCAACCUGCAGAUGAAGUGGCAAUAGCAUCUUCAGGAGGUGAAAUCCAAAACAAAGACGAGCACUAGGAAAGCUAUACCAACCUUUUCUGAAAAACGAAUCCGAGCAAGAGCUUCACUAAGGCGUAUUAAACUCUCUAGCUG
rnacentral:lncRNA from 1 species